CAUGGUACGCCAUAGACGGACAAUAGGGAACCAUGUGUAAAUCAUGGGCUGACGCGCAACUGUGAUGUCCGGCAGCGGCGGGUGCACAAUGCCAUUGGGGCUCAAGCGGCCCUGAGAAGGCGCGCCCGCAGAGGACAGAGCCAGGAGACCUGCCACGGCC
rnacentral:ncRNA from 1 species